rnacentral:rRNA from 1 species
CACACCGCCCGUCACAUCAUGGGAGUUGGUUUUACCCGAAGUCGAUGACUUAAGCCGUAAGGCAGAGAGUCGCCUAAGGUAAGGCCGAUGACUGGGAUG